CCCCUCUCGGAGCAAAACCAAAUAGGAAUUCGUUGGCGUGGCUCGCGCUGAAUUCGGGUAGGUUGCUUGAACUAAAUGGUGACGUUUAGUCUAGAUGAAUGAUUGUCCACGACAGAACCCGGCUUAUCGGCAAACUCUUUAC
rnacentral:RNase_P_RNA from 1 species